UUGCAUCUUUUUUUCACUUUCCGACAAAGGACUGAUCUUAUUUUUUCAUGUGUAAAACUGUAGGUCAAUAUCACCACCUUGUGGCUAAAAGAUCUUUCCAUCUGUACCCUUUUACUUCUUUGCCAUCAGAAUUCUCCUAUCUGUCAUGGGAUUGUCCUGGACUAUCCCUGAUCCCAUUCUUGUCAUUCGAAUAACAGAAGAGAACAGAGCAGGUUGUAACACUUUGG